GAAAGUCAAUAAGGUCAUCUUUGCAGAAGUCUGCAUCAUUCAUACAGGAUUGCACCAUCCUGGAUGUAAGGCUCACGGAUGCAGAAGAAGGUGAAUUACAGUAAUACGUGGAGCUCACUCUCCUCCUCUGCAGCAGGACCAGAAGUGCUGGCUAGCAUCACAGACACUCUACUGGCAUACAGAGCACCAACACCUCGUCCAGCAUGUUUUGCUUGGCUUAGACAUGUUAUCAUUUAAAAAACACUUUCAGAAGAGGUUCAUAAAUCUUUUUUUUUUUUUUUUGAGGGCACUGGCAUGCAAUAGCUGGCUGCAGUGAGAAAUGUCUGAAAUUCCAAGGACAUGCUAAAGGGAAAUUAUGUAGUUGCUGUUUCCUCCGUGACCCGAUUCAAUAAACUACAUCAAUUCCAGCAUGAAUG
rnacentral:lncRNA from 10 species